AAACUCAAAGGAAUAGACGGGGACCCACACAAGCGGUGGAGCAUGUGGUUUAAUUCGACGAUACGCGAAGAACCUUUCCUGGCCUUGACAUAGAAAGGACCUUACUAGAGAUAGUUUGGUGCUCGCUUGCUAGAACUUCAUACCAGGUGCUGCACGGCUGUCGUCAGCUCGUGUCGUGAGAUGUUGGGUUAAGUCCCGCAACGAGCGCAACCCUCGUGUUUAGUUACUAACAGUUCGGCUGAGGACUCUAGACAGUCUGCCUGGGUAACCAGGAGGAAGGUGAGGCCGACGUCAAGUCAUCCUGGCCCUUACGGCCAGGGCUACACACGUGCUACAAUGGGGUAUACUAAGAGCCGCGAUACCGCGCGGUGGAGCACUAUCUCAUAAAAUCUCUCCCAGUUCGGAUUGAAGUCUGCAACUCGACUUCAUGAACGUUGGAAUCGCUAGUAAUCGUGAAUCAGCAAUGCCACGGUGAAUACGUUCCCGGGUCUUGUCCUCACCGCCC
rnacentral:rRNA from 1 species